rnacentral:rRNA from 1 species
GCAGAAUUCCGCGAAUCAUCGAAUUUUUGAACGCAAAUGGCGCUCUCGGGUUACCCCCAAGAGCACACCUCUCUGAGUGUCGGUUAAACCCUAUGCCCUUGACUGAUCCUGUCGGGCGACAGACUGAGGGUAAGGGGGCUUGUCCCCUUUUCCCUUUAAAUUUUAACCGCACGCAUUGGCGCGGUGAAGGCAAGUUGCUUUCACUUAAUUGUGAAUUCAAUCCUUUGUCCCCUCUGCGACGCAGGCAAAAGAAACAAACAGUGGCAAGAAAUGAACCCCUUCAAAGACGUGAAACUCCGCGAAGGGAUGGUAGUGGAUUGCACACUUUAUGAAUUAGACCUCAGAUGAAGUGGGAAGACCCCCUGAAUUUAAGCAUAUUAUUAAGGGGAGGAAAAGAAACUAACAAGGAUUCCC